GACGAACGCUGGCGGCGUGCUUAACACAUGCGAGUCGAACGGAAAGGCCCUGCUUUUGUGGGGUGCUCGAGUGGCGAACGGGUGAGUAACACGUGAGUAACCUGCCCUUGACUUUGGGAUAACUUCAGGAAACUGGGGCUAAUACCGGAUAGGAGCUCCUGCUGCAUGGUGGGGGUUGGAAAGUUUCGGCGGUUGGGGAUGGACUCGCGGCUUAUCAGCUUGUUGGUGGGGUAGUGGCUUACCAAGGCUUUGACGGGUAGCCGGCCUGAGAGGGUGACCGGCCACAUUGGGACUGAGAUACGGCCCAGACUCCUACGGGAGGCAGCAGUGGGGAAUAUUGCACAAUGGGCGGAAGCCUGAUGCAGCAACGCCGCGUGCGGGAUGACGGCCUUCGGGUUGUAAACCGCUUUCGCCUGUGACGAAGCGUGAGUGACGGUAAUGGGUAAAGAAGCACCGGCUAACUACGUGCCAGCAGCCGCGGUGAUACGUAGGGUGCGAGCGUUGUCCGGAUUUAUUGGGCGUAAAGGGCUCGUAGGUGGUUGAUCGCGUCGGAAGUGUAAUCUUGGGGCUUAACCCUGAGCGUGCUUUCGAUGCGGGUUGACUUGAGGAAGGUAGGGGAGUAUGGAAUUCCUGGUGGAGCGGUGGAAUGCGCAGAUAUCAGGAGGAACACCAGUGGCGAAGGCGGUUCUCUGGGCCUUUCCUGACGCUGAGGAGCGAAAGCGUGGGGAGCGAACAGGCUUAGAUACCCUGGUAGUCCACGCUGUAAACGGUGGGUACUAGGUGUGGGGUCCAUUCCACGGGUUCCGUGCCGUAGCUAACGCUUUAAGUACCCCGCCUGGGGAGUACGGCCGCAAGGCUAAAACUCAAAGGAAUUGACGGGGCCCCGCACAAGCGGCGGAGCAUGCGGAUUAAUUCGAUGCAACGCGUAGAACCUUACCUGGGUUUGACAUGGAUCGGGAGUGCUCAGAGAUGGGUGUGCCUCUUUUGGGGUCGGUUCACAGGUGGUGCAUGGCUGUCGUCAGCUCGUGUCGUGAGAUGUUGGGUUAAGUCCCGCAACGAGCGCAACCCUUGUUCACUGUUGCCAGCACGUUAUGGUGGGGACUCAGUGGAGACCGCCGGGGUCAACUCGGAGGAAGGUGGGAUGACGUCAAGUCAUCAUGCCCCUUAUGUCCAGGGCUUCACGCAUGCUACAAUGGCUGGUACAGAGAGUGGCGAGCCUGUGAGGGUGAGCGAAUCUCGGAAAGCCGGUCUCAGUUCGGAUUGGGGUCUGCAACUCGACCUCAUGAAGUCGGAGUCGCUAGUAAUCGCAGAUCAGCAACGCUGCGGUGAAUACGUUCCCGGGGCU
rnacentral:rRNA from 1 species